ACCCCAGUGAGAAUGCCCUUAGGUUAUUAAACUAAGAGGAGCUGGCAUCAAGCACACACCCUGUAGCUCACGACGCCUUGCUUAACCACACCCCCACGGGAAACAGCAGUGACAAAAUUAAGCCAUAAACGAAAGUUUGACUAAGUUAUAUUAAUUAGGGUUGGUAAAUCUCGUGCCAGCCACCGCGGUCAUACGAUUAACCCAAGCUAACAGGAGUACGGCGUAAAACGUGUUAAAGCACCUAUACCAAAUAGGGUUAAAUUCUAACUAAGCUGUAAAAAGCCAUGAUUAAAAUAAAAAUAAAUGACGAAAGUGACCCUACAAUAGCCGACGCACUAUAGCUAAGACCCAAACUGGGAUUAGAUACCCCACUAUGCUUAGCCCUAAACACAGAUAAUUACAUAAACAAAUUAUUCGCCAAGAGUACUACUAGCCAACAGCUUAAAACUCAAAGACUUGCGGUGCUUUAUAUCCUUUAGAGGAGCCUGUUCUAUAAUCGAUAACCCCGAUAACCUCACCAAUUCUGCUAAUACAGUCUAUAUACCGCCAUCUUCAGCAAACCCU
rnacentral:rRNA from 1 species